CCUACGGGAGGCAGCAGUGGGGAAUUUUGGACAAUGGGCGAAAGCCUGAUCCAGCAAUGCCGCGUGAGUGAAGAAGGCCUUCGGGUUGUAAAGCUCUUUUGUCAGGGAAGAAACGGUGUGGGCUAAUAUCCUGCACUAAUGACGGUACCUGAAGAAUAAGCACCGGCUAACUACGUGCCAGCAGCCGCGGUAAUACGUAGGGUGCAAGCGUUAAUCGGAAUUACUGGGCGUAAAGCGUGCGCAGGCGGUUUUGUAAGUCUGUCGUGAAAUCCCCGGGCUCAACCUGGGAAUUGCGAUGGAGACUGCAAGGCUAGAAUCUGGCAGAGGGGGGUAGAAUUCCACGUGUAGCAGUGAAAUGCGUAGAGAUGUGGAGGAACACCGAUGGCGAAGGCAGCCCCCUGGGUCAAGAUUGACGCUCAUGCACGAAAGCGUGGGGAGCAAACAGGAUUAGAUACCCUGGUAGUCCACGCCCUAAACGAUGUCUACUAGUUGUCGGGUUUUAAUUAACUUGGUAACGCAGCUAACGCGUGAAGUAGACCGCCUGGGGAGUACGGUCGCAAGAUUAAAACUUNAAAUUGAAGUAGAGGCGNGAGAGNGCGACGGACGACACGAGGGAGGAGG
rnacentral:rRNA from 1 species